GAACUCCUGAGCCAUCCAUCUGCCUUGGCCUCCCAAAAAGCUGGCAGCACAGGCAUGAGCCACUGCACCCUGCCAAUACUCUGCAUUAAACCAUGACUCUUUGAAGGAGAAGAGUUAUCAAAAGAAUGUGUCACCUUUGAUAACCCAGUGCUUUUAUCUGCCUGAACUGGUUGGGAAAGUUCUACUAAAUACAGUACUAAAGAAAGUUGGUUUGUCCACAUUUCACUGAUGAUAUUCUCAAUGUAGAACAUUUUCAUGCUUUGUUAUUUAAUCAAAAUUUAAAGUGGAUGCAAUAUUAUUUGUGUACUGAUGAAAAUACUGGGUAUAUUUUUUAAAUUUCAGUGGUUGACAUUUUGGCCACUGGGUGUCAUCACAGAUCUAGGCUUUAAAAUGUGCAGUUGUCACUUGCUGAUUGAAAUUAACUAAUAGAGUCUGAUGAGGCUUCAUGGCACAUCUUCAUCCUUUGACCUUCAUAUAUUGAAUGUUAAUCUCCACUAUGGGAAAUUCUUUAUAAAGUACAAUUUGGA